rnacentral:rRNA from 1 species
CCUACGGGAGGCAGCAGUGGGGAAUUUUGGACAAUGGGGGCAACCCUGAUCCAGCCAUCCCGCGUGUGCGAUGAAGGCCUUCGGGUUGUAAAGCACUUUUGGCAGGGAAGAAAGGGCGCGGGUUAAUACCUUGCGCCGCUGACGGUACCUGCAGAAUAAGCACCGGCUAACUAUGUGCCAGCAGCCGCGGUAAU